rfam:HIV-1 isolate 18030 (2/96) from TSA clone 6 gag protein (gag) gene, partial cds.
GGCCAGGGGAAGAAAAAAUAUAGACUAAAACAUCUGGUAUGGGCAAGCAGGGAGCUAGAACGAUUCGCAGUUAAUCCCGGCC